rnacentral:rRNA from 1 species
GACGAACGCUGGCGGCGUGCCUAAUACAUGCAAGUAGAACGCACAGUUUAUACCGUAGCUUGCUACACCAUAAACUGUGAGUUGCGAACGGGUGAGUAACGCGUAGGUAACCUGCCUGGUAGCGGGGGAUAACUAUUGGAAACGAUAGCUAAUACCGCAUAAUAUUAAUUAUUGCAUGAUAAUUGAUUGAAAGAUGCAAUUGCAUCACUACCAGAUGGACCUGCGUUGUAUUAGCUAGUAGGUGAGGUAACGGCUCACCUAGGCGACGAUACAUAGCCGAACUGAGAGGGUGAUCGGCCGCACUGGGACUGAGACACGGCCCAGACUGCUACGGGAGGCAGCAGGAGGGAAACGUCGGCAAUGGACGGAAGUCUGAGCGAGAUACGCCGCGUGAGGGAAGAAGGAUUUCGGAUCGUAAAGCUCUGUUGUAAGGGAAGAACGGGUGUGAGAGUGGAAAGUUCACACUGUGACGGUAUCUUACCAGAAAGGGACGGCUAACUACGUG